UUUUCUGUCCUUAGAAUGUCUCUAUCUCUAGAAAUACAUUAUUUAAAUUCUGUUUAAAAAUCAUGGAAUUAAUUAUUCUCUGUGUGAAUAUGACAUCAACUGGAUGAAGAGAGAGAGAAAAGAGAAAGGAAGACAAGCAAUCAACCAUUUCUAUUGAAGAGAGAUUCUUUAUCAGUAAAGGCUUUUGUUUCUUUGGUGUUUGGAUCUGAGAUAUUAGUUUCUUCCCUAUAUUCUUGAAGUACCCAUGCAGAUUGCCUGAACCUCACCUUGAUGUUGGACUUCCAGACCCUGCUGGUGUCCCUCAGUGUAUGCUACUGCAUCUAAAGUUGGUGGCAGCAAUAGCUGAGGUAACUCGAGAUAACAGUUAAGAUGCCCCAAGAUGGAAGCCAUGUCUUACAGAGAUGGGGCUGAAGAGUGGGCCUCACACUCCUUUUGGGAUGCCUGCUCUGAGAUGCAGCUGUUUCUAGGCCCUGUCCGUUGGCAAAGAGUUAGGGGCUACUGUGUGGGGAAGACUAUGGCGAUGACUGCAGUGCCCCAAGAUGGAGGUGAGUUAGGUUUAGUUUCCCAGGUGGGGAUUGGUGGUGGCAAACUCAUAUCUACCCUGGACCUGGGUCCUGCGCAAGUCCGUGUGGACAGAUUUGGGUCAGGUAUGGACUCCCGUAGUAGUCUUCUGGUCAGAAGAGACGGUCCUGUGCUCUGGGCUCUGGCGGGUGCCUGCCAGUGGAGGGGUGGACCCAGGCCUACUGUGAUCCAGCCCCCCACCCCCACAGGCCUGUGUGGGUGGAUGUGGGCUGCUGGGCUUGACCUCCCGCUGUAGUCUGCUGGUCAGAAAGGACAGUCCUGUGCCAGAGGCUAGGCUCUGGUGGGUGUUUGCCCUGCCAGUGGAGGGCUGGACUGGGGCCCUUAUUUUCAGAUUCUUGUGAUUAUCCAUAUUGUUGUGGCUUACAUUAAAAUUAUGCAACCUGUAGCUAGUGGAUACUAAGAACUUUAAAGAUGAAAGUGCUAAAUGUUUCUCUGCCUGCCAACCACCUUUGAUAUGUGGCUACUUUGAUGUAAAGAAAGAGAAAGCAUAUAAAUAAAGGGUUUUCUUGA